CAGCAGCCGCGGGAAUACGUAGGGUGCAAGCGUUGUCCGGAAUUAUUGGGCGUAAAGAGCUCGUAGGCGGUUUGUCGCGUCUGCUGUGAAAACUGGAGGCUCAACCUCCAGCCUGCAGUGGGUACGGGCAGACUAGAGUGCGGUAGGGGAGAUUGGAAUUCCUGGUGUAGCGGUGGAAUGCGCAGAUAUCAGGAGGAACACCGAUGGCGAAGGCAGAUCUCUGGGCCGUAACUGACGCUGAGGAGCGAAAGCGUGGGGAGCGAACAGGAUUAGAUACCCGCGUAGUCCCUGUCUCUUAUAC
rnacentral:rRNA from 1 species